rnacentral:rRNA from 1 species
AGCAGCCGCGGUAAUUCCAGCUCCAAUAGCGUAUAUUAAAGUUGUUGCAGUUAAAAAGCUCGUAGUUGAAUUUCAGGCCUGGCUGGACGGUCCGCCCUUCGGGUGAGUACUGUCUGUGGUCGGGUCCUACCUUCUGGCGAAGCGUCAUGGCCUUAACCGGCCGUGGCGGGGAACCAGGACUUUUACUGUGAAAAAAUUAGAGUGUUCAAAGCAGGCAAUCGCUUGGAUACAUUAGCAUGGAAUAAUGGAAUAGGACAAUGGUUCUAUUUGUUGGUUUCUAGGACCGUUGUAAUGAUUAAUAGGGAUAGUUGGGGGCAUUAGUAUUCAAUUGUCAGAGGUGAAAUUCUUGGAUUUAUUGAAGACUAACUACUGCGAAAGCAUUUGCCAAGGAUGUUUUCAUUAAUCAAGAACGAAAGUUAGGGGAUCGAAGACGAUCAGAUACCGUCGUAGUCUUAACCAUAAACUAUGCCGACUAGGAAUCGGGCGAUGUUGAAAAAAUGACGCGCUCGGCACCUCAUGG